CUCGUUUUGUUUGUAUAUUGUUUUCCUAAUUUCAAUGAAUUGUCUUUCUGUGUUUUCUUCUAGCUCUCUGAGCUUCCAUAAAACAAUUAUUUUGAAAUCUAUAUUGGGCAAAUUGCAGAUGCACAUUUCUUUGGAUUCAGUUACUAAAAAUUAUGAUGUUCCUUUGGUAGUGUCAUGUUUCCUUGAUUUUUCAUGUUUCUUGCAAGCCUUGUGUUGCUUUCUUUGCAUUUGAACAGUCACUUCCUCCAGUCUUCACUGAUUGGGUUUAGGAGAUAAAUACCUUUCAUUAGCCCUGGUAGGGAAUCUGAGGCUUUCUCAGACUUUUUCUUUGAAUAUGCCUGCUCCGUACUUCUUGUUCUUUCUUUGGCAGAUUUCUUAAGCUUGUAUACCUUCUCUUGAUUCUAUAAAGCCAGGAUGGGUGCUGGAAGCCUCUCUUUUGCUUUCCCUAGAGUGGUGCUGAAUGCUGAAAUUUGUGUGAUUUUUCUUCCAGAUGUGUAGGGUUAGGCUUUUUUCACAUGAUUACUAACUGCAGAAGUUUGCUCUCACCACUACUGGGAGUGCACACAGGGAGUCGGCCACAAGGUUGGGAGUUGUAUGGGUUUGGUGCAUGGGGCACUAGGGGUCCCCAUGGGCCAGAUCGGAGAAUCUGCUGGUAAGGCAUUCUUCAGUGGUUUUUGGGUGGGCUUCCUGAUAAAAGUCUGUGAAGCACUCAGUACGGUCUGUGCAUCUUUGAUACUUUCUGGUCUGACCCCUGGAUGCUAUUCUCCCAGUUGCUCCCUGCCCCUCAUCUUGCAGUUCAUACUCAGUGUUCUGAAUGGGGUGAGAAAUAAGUUGAUCUGUUGGACAGUGUCCUGCACAGCUGGGGAAGCUGGGUGCUUAUUUACAUGUUCUCAUUUUCCCUGAUGGGAGAAGUUAUGGACCAAGAAGGUCCCUCUUGGCACUAAGCUAUGCUUCUUUGGGAAGAAGGUAGUGCAGGUAAAGUGAAACUGUUCCUCUUAUCCUCUUCAAUAUUUCUAGUCUGAGAUUUUUUGGAUCCAGUGGUGUGCUGGAACUUCUCUGCUGGACACCUGGACUUCCACAAAGACUCUCUUGUCUGUGGGCGAUUGUCUAAAUCAGUGUUCUUUUGGGAGGAAGAGAGUAGAAAAUCCUUAUUCUGCCACAAUGAUGACAUCACUCCUUUAAGUCUUAAUUUAAAUGCAACUUCUAGCUUUCUGCAUAUUAAAGAAUGAGGAAUAUUAUAAUAUUAUGAGUUAACAAAGCCAUUUUAAUUCCAAUUGAAAGUGACAUGGGACUUUGACUCUAAACUCUAAUUUAGUUUUUAUUUCCAUUAAUAGUGAGUGAUAUGAAAUUACAUGAAAUUACAGAGUCUUGGAUUUAUUGGAAUCAGAUUUAGUUUUGCAAAAUUACAUAGGGACUAAGGAUACUCCUUUUGAGAUUUAAAAUUAUUAAAAUAUCUUUGAUGGAUGGGAGUAGCCCAACUAAAGUCAGCUGUAAGAAGAUAUCAGCUCCUAAGAAAACUUCACUAUCAUGCAAAGGCCAUUCCAAACUAGUGACUUGGGAUCUCUUUUAGGUCCUUGGGGGUUAAGGAAGAGGAAUGGUUUUAGGUAUGAUGAGGCUAAGAAUGUGAAGCUAUUUUUCCAUCAAUCUAUCUUACUGUGAGUAUGCCCUGAGAAAGCUGGCUGUAUUUCAAGGAAAGAUUAUAACAGCUAAGGAAGGAACAGCCUCCUUCUGCAACCUGGGGAAACCUGCUAUCUGGGCGGAGACUGGACCAGGAGCAGGUUGUAAUGACUAGGGCAAGAAUGUUAGUUCCAGGUGCAGCUCUUCAGCUUGCCAAUCUUUGUUAAGUGAAGAUGCUAGAACAAUUGGUAUUAGUAGGGAGAAAUGGAGGGAUUUCUUCUGACUAUCCAAAUUUUGACUGUCACUAACUUGUUUAAUGAUAGCAACAGCAUUUGACUGUUCUAGACCUGUAGAUGUCUAGUGCUUCUCAGACUUCAAUGUAUAUAUGAAUCAUCUGAGGAUCUUGUUAAAGUGCAGGUUCUGAUUCAUUGGAUAUGAGUAAAUCUUGAUAUUCUACAUUUCUCACAAGAUCCCUGGUGAAUUUAACGCCGCUUGUCCAAGGACCAUAUUUUGUGUAGCAGAGUGUGGUAGGCAGAUUUAUAGCCCUCAAGAAGAGUUUGUGCUCUAAUCCCUGGGACUAUGAGUCUGUUAACUUCUUAGAAAAAGGGACUUUUCUGAUGUAAUUAAGUUUCCUAGUCCAUUGGACUUAAAAUAGGGAGGUUAUCCUGCAUUAUCUGAGUGGGUGCAAUAUAUUUACAUGAACUCUUAACAGCAGAAAGCGGAGAAGAGGAGGUAAGGGAGAUUCCAUAUGUGAGAAAGAUUUGGCAUAUCAUUGCUGCCUUGGAGAUGGAAAAGCCAUGUGGAAAGUAUAAGAAGGAAUUGAAUUCUGCUAACAUCCUGAAUGUGCUUGAAAGUGGAUUUUUUCCCAGAGCAUCUAGUAAGGAAUGCAGCACUGCCAAGCCAUUAAUUUUAGUCUUGUGAGCCCUAAGCAGAGAGUCCAAUUGAGCAAUUCUGUGCCCAGAAUUAUAAACCACCGUAACUAUGAGGUACAAAAUGGGUAUUAGUUUAACUGCUAAAUUUGGAUAAUUUAUUAUAUUAGAAAUAGAAAACUAAUAUGUAAGGUAAUCUAGACCAUCUAGCAUCUAGGGAGAGCAUGAAGUCAUUCAACAUUAGUAGGGUGAAUCUGAGUUCCAGAUCCAGGGAUGAUGUGAGAACAACCUCAAUGGGCCUUUGCAUUGAAUAGACUCCUAGGGUUCUCAUAACUAUUAAGAGAGGCAUGACCCUAGGAGACCAAAGAUGUUCUCACAACCAGAGUCAUAUUAAAAUAGAAUAUUUAAAGAGAUGUAAGGAUCUUUAAAUGUAUAUAACACAAGCUAUCUAUCUAUAUAGAUAGGUAGAUAGGUAGAUAUAACAAAUAGCAUCCAUCUAUUAGGAGACAGUUCUUCAUGGGCCUGUUGUAUUUCUGCACUGUCACAGGCAGUAACACUGACAAUCUUUCAGACAGUCCAUUCAAGGAUGCUUGUGUAGUGAAUAAACUUGGAAUCUGGAGACAAUGAUGUUUUCUGGAGAAGGGGGCAGGUUUAUUUACUGUUCAGUAUAAUAAAGGUAAUAUUUUCCUCUGGGGCAAAAAUAGGACAAGUUUGCUUGCAUCCUAUUUUAAAAUAUUGGGUUUCUUUUAGCGUGGUGUUUCUCAGCUGUGUUGCAAACCCACUAUGUGCACAGCAUCUGCCUCGGCUGCUCAGGAUUAUUCCCAUGGGACUCGGGGGUUGGGUAGAGGAAAUGUAAAGUGAAACUCAUGCUUGUUGUGCUGUAAUAACAUCCCUUGUCUCUGACCUAGGAGUCUUUUCUCUUCUGUCACCAGUCAUGCAGCUGUAGCUGGCUAAUUUGUUAGCUUGUAAGUAGGUUAAAACCUCAGAUUUUCACAAUUCUUAACUAUGUGAAUAAAUCUGUGUGUUUGUGUUUGUGUCUAUGGGUGUGUGUUUAUGUAGGUCUCAAAUUUCAAAUGUUUUUAUCUCUUGACAAGAAGUAAGUUGAAGAAGAUUUACCUAUUAUGGAGUGGUCUGAAGUUUCUCAACACCAUUAAUUCAAUAGGUUUUCAGUUCUAGUGCUUUCUUCUUAAACCAUGAAGUUCAUACUGAAUAUCCUGCCAUUAAAGAAAUAUUACCUUCAGUCCAUAAGAACUCCCAAAGUUUUACUGAAAUAAGCAGCUAUGCUUAACUUUUUUGAUAUUAUUUUAUUACCAAGGUCAACACUGUUAAGUUACAUAUAUCCUUCCCCUAUAUUAUUUUAUAUUAUAUGGAAUUUUGGUUUUCUUAUAUCCUACCCAUUGAGUGUAUUUUUGUCGGAAAUAUCUGCUUCAUUUAGGUAAUAAUGGAGGUAAUGACGUUGAGCUAUGUUCCUGACUUAAAAAUUUUCUUAAAUAAUAUAUUCUAAGUUUUGGGACUUGAAGUGAGCCUUUGGUAAACAUUUUAAGAGGUAAUUAUUAUUCUCAACCAUUUUUAGGAAGAUAUAAUUUUGUAGGAGGGUCUCAGUAUAAAAGUAUCUCACUAGUAAACAUAUCAAAACUUAGCAGAUAUUUAUUGUUUUUUCUGGGUAGACUGGAAAAUUCUGUAAAUUACCUUUUCUCUGUUUUCAUCUUUUAGAUCCAUAAGGAAGAAUAUAGAUGUGAGUGUACCCAAACAAAACUCGAGUUUCAUUUUUCAAAAAAAUAGGUUACUUGAGGGCCUGGGAAGACUCGGGCAUUCAAAGUAUAGCUUGUUUGGUAUCGGAUGUCACUUGAUAUUCUUCUGUAUCAAGGGUAUCUUUUUCUUCAAUAUGUCUAUUGAAUAUUUAUUUUGUCUACCAAGACAGAUUAAAUAUUUGUAUGCAGAACUGUUCCAAUUUUAGAAAAAGACUAUAAAAGAUUAUAUGCGAAUUGUUUUUGUGUUUUUAACCACCACUAUUUCUCCAUCUGUUUUCAUAGGUUUCUGCCAAGAGGAAGAACAUGAAAAAUAGUCUAGGCUCAGUACUACCAUUUUUUGAAAAUUUUUGGAAAAGCAAUAACAAGUCAUUGUAUAAUAAGGCAUUGUUCCUGUUUACUGAGUAGAAGAUUGCCUGGCAGACCUGCCUGAAAUUAGGGGUGGAAGGACUGAGGGAGAUGAUGAAGGAAAAUAAUUCCGUCUAAAGAAGAUCUGUCUUCAUUGUAUAGGCCCCGCUGACCUGAUUAAUCAGUUUCUUUUUACUGAAAAAUUCACUCAUUCAUUUACUCAUUCACUCAUGAGUUAAAAAUUCACUCAUUUACUGUUUGCUUUUUUGGAGCACCUUCUGUGUACAAAGAACUUUUAGCUAAACAAUGCAUUUCUUUUCUUUUAAAAACAACAAAUCUUGCUAAGCCAUCUCUUUAUUCAACACAGAAAAAAAAAUCCAUGCUUUCUUUGUUGCAGUGGUACAGACUUGUUUUCAGUAUUUUGAGUCCGACCUCUGAAUAAGAUAUUUUUUUUCUUUUCUAACAGAUCACUGUCAACAUGUAGCUUGUUUUGGCUAUUAUAUACUAUUUUCCUGGAGAAUUAUUCAUUCACUAUUUCCAGGCACUAUUCUUCCUCAUGACAACUCUAUGAGGAAGAUGUUUUAUCAUCUCCUAAAAGAUGAGACAACAGAGCUCCAGCAACUUGUCCAAAGACACAACUCACAAAACUAGUAAGACCUCCAGAGUCUGUGCUGCUAACCAGGGAACCAGUGUGCCUGUAUGGAAAUAACUUCUCUAUUAAAUAAUAAAUAAAAGACUAUUUUCAUUGUU